ACAACAAAUUGGAAUUGUAAUUUACAAGUAAAAUUAUUGAUUGUAUUGUUUCAAGGAGAGUACGACGACGAGUGCACCCAGCGACACAGGCGGACCUCUAAUCGGGUCCUUCGCAUUGACUGAACUGAAAAAAAAAA